rnacentral:rRNA from 1 species
ACUGUGCAAAGGUAGCAUAAUCAUUAGUUUUUUAAUUAAAAGCUUGUAUGAAUGAUUGGACGAGAUAAAAUCUGUCUCUUAAUUAAUAUUAGAAUUUAAUUUUUAAGUCAAAAAGCUUAAAUUUAUAUAAAAGACGAGAAGACCCUAUAGAUCUUUAUUUAUUUUUUUAUAAUUUAUAUAAUGAUUAUUUAAUUUAUUAUAAAAGUAUAAAUUUUAUUGGGGUAAUAAAAAGAUUUAAAUAAUUCUUUUUUAUCUAAACAAUUAUAAUUGAUAUAUGAUCCAUAUAUAAUGAUUAUAAGAUUAAGUUACCUUAGGGAUAACAGCGUAAUUUUUUUAAAGAGUUCAUAUCGAUAAAAAAGUUUGCGACCUCGAUGUUGGAUUAAAAAUUAUCCUAGGUGCAGAAGUUUGGGAUUUUGGUCUGUUCGACCAUUAAAUUUUU